CUGAAUGACUGUGUGGAUCUGUUCAUCAGUCAUGUUGAACAUGAACAGCUUUGCAGGAUGAAGAAAACAGCACAAGUAUAGUAAUACUUCAAAUAAUUCAUGUAGAGUUCCAGUCUUACUGGAUUACUCCAAGUUCUGUUUGCUAAAGAAGCUGACCGACAACAUGACAGCAGCAUCUUACAGGCCUGAGGACAGCCUGGAGGAGAGGAUAGAAGGGCAGAGGACAGGGGGAAAGACUAGA